CAGCCGGAGCUUUGCCUUGCACGCACAGAAACAGACACACACACACACAGACACACACAGGCACUGUCCUCGCCCCCCAUGCGGUUUUCAGCACGUUCACCUGCCGGGGAGCGGGAGGAAGAGGUGGAGGAGCGGCGCGGGGGCGCUCAGUCGGCCAUGGAGUGACACUGAGAUGAUGUGUGUCAAGAGACUUAUGCAGAAGUGUGCUAUGGACCAGGAGGUUCAGAAGUGGAGGGGCCAGCCUGCCCCAGGAUCAAGGGGUGGGUGCAAUUGCCUGAGGUAAGAGCCAUGUCCAGCAUAUUUGGAUGUGGGUCUUGCUCUAGCAUUAAUUUAGUUUCCCAGUUAACUUGUGAAGUGCUUCAAAGGGUGCUGAAACAGUCUGCAAAGGGCACCAGCAGCAUGAGCAACUGCUGAAGCCUGAGAGAAGGCCCCUGCUGCCGGGGCAGGCUGCAGUGGGAAUUUUAUCACUGACUCCUGGAUGAGCAGAACUAGGCGAACACACAUAGCUUUCCCAAUCUGAGUUCAAAUGUGUGAAUUUACCAUAUCUAACGCCUCCCUGAAAUCCAAACAGACUCAAUUACAUUCUCUUUCUGUAAUGAAUCAGUAAUUAUAUUGAAGAACACUAUUAUUUGUUUGGCAUGACCUAUAUAAACCCGACUUGGGGAGUGCAUAGUUGGUGUGGUGCCAGUGCCCUGCGUAUUAUUGCCUUAUAAACACAACCAUUGUUUGAAUUUCAGAUCAAAACAAACCGAGCCACGUCGCUUGUCAGUUAUUAGAUAUCUUUUUCCCAAAUGCUCACCCAGGCCGUAUUACAAUAACAAUAAUUAUUAUUACAUACUUCCUUAUUGUAUGUUUGUGCCGAGGUAGCACAUUUGCCUUUUUCCCACACAUUAGUUGCUUCUCCUGACUCUUAUGAUUCACUCCUGCCUAUUUCCCAAUGUCCGUGAGGUCUUUCUGCAUUCCCAGCUGCAUUUUGUCAAGACCUGCAGAUUGGCACAGGGAUUCACGGUGCUAUAUUGCACCAGCCUGCAAAGGUUGCAAACCAGCACAGGGGCUUUGCUCCUCGAGGGAAUAUACAAACUGAAGAAAGAUGUGGACCCUGCCCCCAGGUGCUUUAUAAAUAUUUAACUUGGUCUGAUAAUGUGAUAUGGGCUGAUAAUGUGAUUUGGACAGACUAAAACCCAGCCCUGCCUGGGCAGGGUUGGAAAUGGACCUUUUAUGGGAAACAGGGUGGGAGGGGGGCAAGCCAGAGCAGCCAAGUGAUGAUGCUUUCCACAGCCACUGCCACAGCUGGGAGUAGACUCACCCUUCCCAACCUGGGACACCCAAAAUGUAGCAGCCAAAUCCUCAGCAAGCUGCCGAUCUGCCUUUACAGUCACAGAGGAGAAGCGGGUGCUUGGCUGUCAGAAAAAAAUCAUGGAAACAUUCCACUGGUUAAUGUCUGCUGAAUAAUCAGCAGCCAGGGCUGCUGUGGCUGGAAAGAGGCAGAGGCCAACAGAAACCACUCUGCUGCAUUAUCAUCUUGCUGUGUAUCAACUCAGGAUCAUGGAUGCAGGAUUUGAAAAAACUGAUUUUGUCCCAGUUUUUGAGAUCUAUGCCUUUCUAUGUUCACAAGCACUUGUUACAUGCAUUAACCAUCUUACUGAUACAAGGGCAAUUGUUGUUUUGAUGUACAGCAGGUGUCACUUGCUUCCUUUUUUCUGGAAUCUGCCAUCAGCCUCUUUAAAGCUUCUGGCACUUCCCUUAAUCUGAACAAUUUAUUGAGCUGGUAAUAUCCCUUCUGCUUGGGAGCAGGCGGAGACCCGACUUCCUCGGGUGCCAGAAAAGCCUGGCAGAGGGCGCACCUACAAGCUGUGGUUUCCAUCUCAAGCCAUUUACACCUCCCAGUGGCUACCCAGAGAUGUUCCAUGGAAGACGCGCGAAGCCAAAAUAAAAGGAAGUAUUAAAAAGUUACAGACAGGUGGGGAAAGGCCACGCUGACAUCCGCCUACUCCCCCUGAAAGGCCACAGAGUCUGAGGAGGCGCCUGGAACGGAGGAAACAUCUACAACCGCUUGCAGAGACCAGCAGAAAGGCACUUCCACACCUACACCUCCAGGGUAACAGCCAACAAAAAUAGCAUCAGACCCAAAAGAUGUGUAUAGAAUAGUGACUGCAGAAAGCCUUGGCUCAUUUUACACCCCCAGCAAAAAUAAAGUCAAGAGAUUUGUCCUUC